GAUGAACGCUGGCGGCGUGCCUAAUACAUGCAAGUCGAGCGAACAGAUGAGGAGCUUGCUCCUCUGACGUUAGCGGCGGACGGGUGAGUAACACGUGGAUAACCUACCUAUAAGACUGGGAUAACUUCGGGAAACCGGAGCUAAUACCGUAUAAUCUAUUGAACCGCAUGGUUCAAUAGUGAAAGACGGUUUUGCUGUCUCUUAUAGAUGGAUCCGCGCCGCAUUAGCUAGUUGGUAAGGUAACGGCUUACCAAGGCAACGAUGCGUAGCCGACCUGAGAGAGUGAUCGGCCACACUGGAGCUGAGACGCGGUCCAGACUCCUACGGGAGGCAGCAGUAGGGAAUCUUACGCAGUGGGCGAAAGCCUGACGGAGCAACGCCGCGUGAGUGAUGAAGGUCUUCGGAUCGUAAAACUCUGUUAUUAGGGAAGAACAAAUGUGUAAGUAAAUAUGCACGUCUUGACGGUACCUAAUCAGAAAGCCACGGCUAACUACGUG
rnacentral:rRNA from 1 species